rnacentral:rRNA from 1 species
AGCGAACGCUGGCGGCAGGCCUAACACAUGCAAGUCGAACGGACCCUUCGGGGUUAGUGGCGGACGGGUGAGUAACACGUGGGAACGUGCCUUUAGGUUCGGAAUAGCUCCUGGAAACGGGUGGUAAUGCCGAAUGUGCCCUUCGGGGGAAAGAUUUAUCGCCUUUAGAGCGGCCCGCGUCUGAUUAGCUAGUUGGUGAGGUAACGGCUCACCAAGGCAACGAUCAGUAGCUGGUCUGAGAGGAUGACCAGCCACACUGGGACUGAGACACGGCCCAGACUCCUACGGGAGGCAGCAGUGGGGAAUCUUGCGCAAUGGGCGAAAGCCUGACGCAGCCAUGCCGCGUGAAUGAUGAAGGUCUUAGGAUUGUAAAAUUCUUUCACCGGGGACGAUAAUGACGGUACCCGGAGAAGAAGCCCCGGCUAACUUCGUG